CAAAUUAUUUUUUUUAACACACAUUAUUUCAAAUAUUCUAGGUAAACCAGCCUAUGUAUUAGCUAUGUUUAAAAUUCAUCCCACAACUGCAUCUAAGACAGGGGUGGGCAAAUUACGGCCCGGGGGCCGGAUGUGGCCCAGCGGAAUGUUUUAUGCGGCCUGCUGACACCUACAGCAGACAUGCCUAUAGUCCCGCAUUAUGCGGAAACGGCCCGCAAAAUCAUCAAAAAAGCUCACAUGUUCCGCCGUUCCGCAUUCACGAUUUUUUGUUCCGCCAAGUCUGAAUUUUAUCAUUAUUUAUUAAUAGUGCGAAUUGAAAAUACUGAGUGCAAAAUAAAAUAUAUAUAGGUCUGUGUUUAUUGUUUACAUUUCAUCUACUUCCGGACCCGGUGUGUCCUAAAUUUACGAAGAAAUGGUUGAAGACUAGAUCUAGAUCUACAUCUAGUUCUAGACAUAGAUCUCUAGAUCUAAUGAUCUAGUAGUCUAGGUCUAGAUAUUAGAAUUAGAUCUAUUCUUAGAAUCUAGUGGCGAUUUUAUUGUUUACCAUGGAGUUGUCUACUUUUCAAAUUUUACUGACCAAGUUUUUUACAGUGACUGAUCCAUCAGCAGUUUCCGAAGCAGUAACUGAUAUCUCAAAAAAAUAUUGCUUUGCUGAUGGUGUCUGGUCACCCUAGAGGAUCAACAGGAUUUGUUCAUUGAAAGACACUUGAAGAUGUAGGCAGUUAAAGCAAAAGGACUUCUUGCAAUGUUUGUUUCAAGG